UGGGGAAUUUUGGAUCAAUGGGCGAAAGCCUGAUCCAGCAAUGCCGCGUGUGUGAAGAAGGCCUUCGGGUUGUAAAGCACUUUUGUCCGGAAAGAAAUCCUUGGCUCUAAUACAGUCGGGGGAUGGACGGGUACCGGAAGAAUAAGCACCGGCUAACUACGUGCCAGCAGCCGCGGUAAUACGUAGGGUGCAAGCGUUAAUCGGAAUUACUGGGCGUAAAGCGUGCGCAGGCGGUUUGCUAAGACCGAUGUGAAAUCCCCGGGCGUCAACCUGGGAACUGGAUUGGUGACUGGCAGGCUAGAGUAUGGCAGAGGGGGUGAGAAUUCCACGUGUAGCAGUGAAAUGCGUAGAGAUGUGGAGGAAUACCGAUGGCGAAGGCAGCCCCCUGGCAAGUCACUGACGCUCAUGCACGAAAG
rnacentral:rRNA from 1 species